UCUUCCCUCUUUCUUCGUGCCUAAUACAUGCAAGUCGAGCGAACAGAUGAGGAGCUUGCUCCUCUGACGUUAGCGGCGGACGGGUGAGUAACACGUGGAUAACCUACCUAUAAGACUGGGAUAACUUCGGGAAACCGGAGCUAAUACAGGAUAAUAUAUUGAACCGAAUGGUUAAAUAGUGAAAGACGGUUUUGCUGUCACUUAUAGAUGGAUCCGCGCCGCAUUAGCUAGUUGGUAAGGUAACGGCUUACCAAGGCAACGAUGCGUAGCCGACCUGAGAGGGUGAUCGGCCACACUGGAACUGAGACACGGUCCAGACUCCUACGGGAGGCAGCAGUAGGGAAUCUUCCGCAAUGGGCGAAAGCCUGACGGAGCAACGCCGCGUGAGUGAUGAAGGUCUUCGGAUCGUAAAACUCUGUUAUUAGGGAAGAACAAAUGUGUAAGUAACUAUGCACGUCUUGACGGUACCUAAUCAGAAAGCCACGGCUAACUACGUG
rnacentral:rRNA from 1 species